AGGGUCUGGUCCUUAAAUGUUACUUACACCCCCAUAGCUUGAAACAAUAUAUAUUGUAAUAACCUUAGCUGGAGUGAUUUCUUACUGCUUUUGAUUGGAUAAUAAAGAAAAACUCUCCAUGAGAAUAUCUGGCAGACGUUUCUCUUGGUGAGGUAGAUGUUAAGAGAGAGAGAGAGAUUUUCCCUCUCUCCCUAUCCCAAAUAUCUGUCUUUAUUUUUUGGCCAAUGCUUUGACUCAUGUUGGCAGAGGUGACCCAAAUAAAUGCACUAACACUAGUCAUUUAGGGGGUUAGGGGUUGGGUUAGGAUAAAAAAAAAAAAAAACGUAAUGUACAAGACCCAAGUGUGCUAGUUUCCCUUAUAACGUAGUGUUCCUCCAUCCUUACUUUCUUUUUUUUCUCUUUUAUACUGACCCCCCACCCCUUAUCCUUCUUGUUCAUGACAUGGGUGUGCAAUGAUUUGCUUUUGGGGGAUAAAACCCACAGUUUGGGAGUGGAGAGGGAUAUUACAGAGCAGGAUGGCCUGGAGUAAGGUACCUCUGCUCUUGCAUGGAUUUCUCCUGCUGGUUCUGUGUAAACCCUGCCUUCAAGGAGGAAUCUAUAUACCAGCUGGUGCAGGGGGAGGAACUGGAGCUGGAUUAGGGGGUGGUCUUGGAACUGGAGCUGGACUUGGUGCUGAAACAGGUCCAGGAGGUGGAUUUGGUGCUAGUAUCAGAAGUGUUGGGCCAGGAGUUAGUUCUGGAGGAGUUGGAACAAGAUUAGGUCCAGGUGCUGGUCCUGGUGGUCUUGGAAUAGGACCAGGAACUGGCAUAAGACCUGGAACUGGUGAGAGUUUACAUUUAUUCUUAAACAUUUCAUGUGUAAUUAGUGUCCUUAGCUUCCAUAUCAGUUCUAUAACAAUCCUUAAUAAAUUAGCAACUAAUAAAAAAUAUUGUAUUGUCGGUGAAAUACCUGCUUUCAAACCAGGAAAGACAGGAGGUAAGUGGCUAAAUGUCUCUUAAUUAUUAAUUUUAAGUUUGAUUAAAUUAAUAUUUACUUGUCCAACUUGGAACAGGUUAUGAAGGUGGUGGUCCUGGGGGGCAAGGUAUUAGACUGGGUGAUGGAGGCCUUGGAGGAGUUUGGCCUGGUGCUGGAGGUCUUGGAGGAAUUGGACCUGGUGGUGGAGGGCUUGGUACAGGGGGACUUGGUACUGGUGGAUUAGGCACCGGAGGCCUUGGAACAGGUUGAUGAAUUUUCCUUUAUAUAUAAUGGUACUAUAAAAUGUACCAUAAAAUGUAAUUAACUUAAUUAAUAUUUUGUAAUUAACAUAUCUAACUAUUUAGGGGCAUGCUA
ensembl:lncRNA